rnacentral:rRNA from 1 species
CUCGUAGAUGAACGCUGGCGGCAGGCCUAACACAUGCAAGUCGAGCGGUAGAGAGAAGCUUGCUUCUCUUGAGAGCGGCGGACGGGUGAGUAAUGCCUAGGAAUCUGCCUGGUAGUGGGGGAUAACGUUCGGAAACGGACGCUAAUACCGCAUACGUCCUACGGGAGAAAGCAGGGGACCUUCGGGCCUUGCGCUAUCAGAUGAGCCUAGGUCGGAUUAGCUAGUUGGUGAGGUAAUGGCUCACCAAGGCGACGAUCCGUAACUGGUCUGAGAGGAUGAUCAGUCACACUGGAACUGAGACACGGUCCAGACUCCUACGGGAGGCAGCAGUGGGGAAUAUUGGACAAUGGGCGAAAGCCUGAUCCAGCCAUGCCGCGUGUGUGAAGAAGGUCUUCGGAUUGUAAAGCACUUUAAGUUGGGAGGAAGGGCAGUAAAUUAAUACUUUGCUGUUUUGACGUUACCGACAGAAUAAGCACCGGCUAACUCUGUGCCAGCAGCCGCGGUAAUACAGAGGGUGCAAGCGUUAAUCGGAAUUACUGGGCGUAAAGCGCGCGUAGGUGGUUUGUUAAGUUGGAUGUGAAAUCCCCGGGCUCAACCUGGGAACUGCAUUCAAAACUGACUGACUAGAGUAUGGUAGAGGGUGGUGGAAUUUCCUGUGUAGCGGUGAAAUGCGUAGAUAUAGGAAGGAACACCAGUGGCGAAGGCGACCACCUGGACUAAUACUGACACUGAGGUGCGAAAGCGUGGGGAGCAAACAGGAUUAGAUACCCUGGUAGUCCACGCCGUAAACGAUGUCAACUAGCCGUUGGAAGCCUUGAGCUUUUAGUGGCGCAGCUAACGCAUUAAGUGACCGCCUG